ACCGGUACUGUAGACUAGGUCAAUAAUUAGAUACUGGUACUGUAGACUAGGUCAAUAAUUAGAUACCGUGUAUUGUAGACUAAUAAUUGGACACUGGUACUGUAGACUAGGUCAAUAAUUAGAUACCGUGUACUGUAGACUAGGUCAAUAAUUAGAUACUGGUACUGUAGACUAGGUCAAUAAUUAGAUACCGUGUAUUGUAGACUAGGUCAAUAAUUAGAUACCGGUACUGUAGACUAGGUCAAUAAUUAGAUACCGUGUAUUGUAGACUAGGUCA